ACUGACUUGCAGGUGUAACAAUGACCCCAAGAUACGACACAAAAAGGGAGCUGUCCUUCUACAAGUGCUUGAUCAACUGAUUUAAUGGAAAGAAGUUCAGAAUAUGAAGUGCAACAAGGAUAUGUUCAACACACUUUCUGUGACACUUGUCUUUGAAUGCAAAGGAUGUCCAAGAUUCCAGUGAUUGUAACAAGUCAAUAGGAUUACCUGAAAAAGUGUGAGUUAAUUUUUACAUGUGUCACAAGUACAGUCUGCAGAGACAAGCACUUCUAUCAUUGAGGGAAAGUCUGCAUUGUCAAGUUCUUUGCAUAGACAGAAAAGAGAUAAGCAAUGGGUGUAUGGACCAGACCAGGAUUCAAGUCAGGGCCCCCUGAAUCAGUAGUCAUUUGCUCUACCAAUUCAACUAUCUGGCCACCAGAAAUCGAACCCACCUGAAUGCCCUAUAUGGAUCUGUGGAACUCUGAAAUAUCCAAGAUUUAUCAAUAAGAGAGGUUUUACUCCACCUAUGUCAAGUGACCAUAAUUUAACAAUUCACUGUAUACACUUCAACAAAACUGCAACCCAAGAAGAAAUUAUUGUCCUAUUAUUAAUCUUCUGGCUACAGAAAAAAAAUUACGUGUGAUGUUAGUAUAGUUUUUUUAUUAUGUUUACUGAUACUGUGGACCUUAUUUAAACUUGUAGGAUAUCAAUCUCCUAUGCAGAGUUGUCAUUUGUUCCUCUCUCAGACAUGUAUGGGCCAAUGGUAGAGAGUGGUAGAAUAUUUCACAUGUAUAAUAUUUUUACACAAUACAUUCAAUUUAAAGGCAGUCAAGUUUAUAACUUAAGAUUUUUGUUUUUUUUCAAUUCUAGCUCCCAAUACACAAGUAUAAG